CCCAUCAGCUCCCAGGAUGGGUUUCCCAGAGGGUAAAACUUGUGGCAGAACUCCUCUCAGUUUGCUUACAAAGUGCCAAUAAUUUUUUUUUUUCUUCUGCUCAACAAAUGAGAUGCUUUAGCCCGUGACAGUGGCAGAAAGCAUCCGGAGUCUGGUGAUGAUAAAGAAGUUCCCGUUAUCCCGAAGGCAGGAAAGCUGUGCUUCCAGAAGCCCAUCAGAUCAUGGAGCUUCCUGGUAUUGAGGAGGACUGUCUGUCUUCUCUGAAGCCCUACCAGCCGGCUAAAGGGUCUCCUCUCGGCUCUGCCAGGAAAACCUACUGACAGAUCCGCUGGGGUCCAGACCAGCAUAUCAAGUGCAAUUACAGUGGAGGCCAAAGAGACCAGAUCAUCCAUCCCUUUCCUUUGCCUGCCCACACUCUCUCUUCGGAGAAGUCUAUUUGUGCAAGGCAGAUGGAGAGAACCCGAACUCGGUUGGAAGCACAGAUCCUGCAGAGCUUGAUGAGGGACUUAAUUCCAAACAAAGGCAGCUGC